GAAACUAUUUCCCAGGUAAAAGGAGGAUCUUUAACAACAUUUUUACUCCUCCUUAUAAACGGUCAGAAUAAGCUAAAUUAUGUUGUUCAAUAUAUCCGGCUCAAUAUCCUUAAUAAGACAGAGAGAGAGAGAGAGAGAGAGAAAGAGAAAGAGAUAAAAUAACGAAUGAAUGAAUGAAUGAAAGAGAUUAUGAAAAUUCAGGUUUUCCAGAGAUAACAACGGUAAAGUUGAAUUUGGCGCGUGGGAUCAAUAGAUUAAUACUUUGAUCCAUUAACUAUCGACUUAGAUUGGAUUAUAUCAGGAAAAAAACGCAAUUUUAAAGAUAUUCUUAAAGAUACACCUUUUUUAUCAAUAAUAUUCACAAUAAUGAUAACUUUAAGAGUUAUAAUAAUGUUAAUAGAAAAUAUAAAAAAUGUUUCUUUUUGUGAAAUUACAUUAUAUAAUGUUGAAGAUUUACUCUAUUAGACGCUUGGUUAGGAACCAUAUUUUUUUACGCUUUAACCUGUAUGCGGUUUAUGUUUAAAUUUUGUUCGGCUUUCAAAUAAAGGAUAUAUUGUUGAUCAAGAGGAGGAGCAAUUAUCUAAUGGUUAUUAAGAUGAUCUAAGGACAAAGGAUGGAAGAUGAUGAAAUACAAGGCGUCACAUGGUAACCAGAGGUCUUUCAAGUUGACAUGUUUAAGUCGCUUUAACCUGCUUUUUCUUAUGGUGCACGACGAAGAAUGAAGAAAGAAAGAGAAAAGAAAGCAAAAAGGAAAAGAAAGAGAAAAAGAAAAGUAAGAGGAACAUGACGACGACGAUGAUGAUGAUGAUUAUUAGGAUGAUAAUGGUGAAAGUAUUAAUGAUAAACAGCCAAGAGACAGAGAAGAGGAAAUGAAACAUCACAGAUCAAAUGAUUACUAAGACCGUGUCUGCGUGGUUAUAAAAAGCUCAGUGGAAUUCGAUUCAAGUCUCUUUCCAUUGAUUGUUAUUCAUUAAUCAUCCAAAGGGUCAACAUAUUCAAAAAGUGCUGGGUUGGAUUUAGUUAAGGUAUGAAACGGAGAGACUCAGCAAGGCAUCUUUGUAACAAUACAAUCGCUAUUAGAAUAUCAUCUCAUCAUUAUUGCUUUAUUAUGUCUCUAGAGCCUUAAGGAAACAGAAUGAUUGAAGUUUAAGGUGAAUCAAUUUCUGUGUUGGAUAAGGUGCAGGAAAUAAUUUUAUUUAAUUACGGAAACGCAUAAAUUGUAUGAGUAAAGAAGCGUUGGAGGUUUUUGGUUAAAUGAUGAUCUUAAUCUUUGAAGGUUUAACCAAUUAGAAUACAUUAACAUUCGCAAGACUAUCCGUUUCAAUGUCUACAAUUUGAUGGUCAAUAAGUUAGCCGUAGCGAAACGGAGGAGAAAGUUGAAGAUGAAAGUUGAUUGUUACAAGAAAUUAAAAGUUUUUAAGGUUUGGUCCGAGAUGAAUUAAUUUGCUUUCUGAAUCAACAACAACAACAACAACAAUAUCAUCUUCAUGAUAAUAAUGAUAAUCAACAUAAUUCCCAUUUGAUCCUGAAAUCGGCCUUUCAAUCCAGAAAUCCGCCUCACCUACUAUUCUAGUUGCCGAAAA